rnacentral:tRNA from 5 species
GGAGAGGUACCGAAGUGGCCAUAACGGCGCCGACUCGAAAUCGGAUGGACAGCAAUGUCACGUGGGUUCGAAUCCCACCCUCUCCGCCA